rnacentral:rRNA from 1 species
AUACGGAGGGUGCAAGCGUUGUUCGGAAUUAUUGGGCGUAAGGCGAGCGCAGGCGGUCUUUUAAGUCUGAUGUGAAAGCCCACGGCUCAACCGUGGAGGGUCAUUGGAAACUGGAAGACUUGAAUGCAGAAGAGGAAAGUGGAAUUCCAUGUGUAGCGGUGAAAUGCGUAGAUAUAUGGAGGAACACCAGUGGAGAAGGCGACGUUCUGGUCUGUAAUUGACGCUGAGGCUCGAAAGCGUGGGGAGAGAACAGGAUUAGAUACCCUGGUAGUCCACGCCGUAAACGAUGAGUGCUAAGUGUUGGAGGGUUUCCGCCCUUCAGUGCUGGAGCUAACGCAUUAAGCACUCCGCCUGGGGAGUACGGCCGCAAGGCUGAA